UUAUACAUGCAAGUCGAGCGCAGGAAGCAAGCUGAUCCCCUUCGGGGGUGACGCUUGUGGAAUGAGCGGCGGACGGGUGAGUAACACGUGGGCAACCUGCCUGUAAGACUGGGAUAACCCCGGGAAACCGGGGCUAAUACCGGAUAAUACUUUCUUUUGCAUAAAGGAAAGUUGAAAGGCGGCUUCGGCUGUCACUUACAGAUGGGCCCGCGGCGCAUUAGCUAGUUGGUGAGGUAACGGCUCACCAAGGCGACGAUGCGUAGCCGACCUGAGAGGGUGAUCGGCCACACUGGGACUGAGACACGGCCCAGACUCCUACGGGAGGCAGCAGUAGGGAAUCUUCCGCAAUGGACGAAAGUCUGACGGAGCAACGCCGCGUGAGUGAUGAAGGUUUUCGGAUCGUAAAACUCUGUUGUUAGGGAAGAACAAGUUGGGUAGUAACUGACCCAACCUUGACGGUACCUAACCAGAAAGCCACGGCUAACUACGUGCCAGCAGCCGCGGUAAUACGUAGGUGGCAAGCGUUGUCCGGAAUUAUUGGGCGUAAAGCGCUCGCAGGCGGUCCUUUAAGUCUGAUGUGAAAUCUCGCGGCUCAACCGCGAACGGUCAUUGGAAACUGGAGGACUUGAGUACAGAAGAGGAGAGUGGAAUUCCACGUGUAGCGGUGAAAUGCGUAGAGAUGUGGAGGAACACCAGUGGCGAAGGCGACUCUCUGGUCUGUAACUGACGCUGAGGAGCGAAAGCGUGGGGAGCGAACAGGAUUAGAUACCCUGGUAGUCCACGCCGUAAACGAUGAGUGC
rnacentral:rRNA from 1 species